AUGCACUGUAUGUUUUAUGUGGGUUGCCACCUAUUGGCAUUCUGCUCAAUUCAGUGCAAGAGAAACCUCAGUUUGCAGAAGGGCUGAAUCAAACUAUUGGUUUUUCCCUUUCGAAGGCUGAGAAUAGUA